CACAAUAAUUUUAAAUCUAAUUUUCCUUCUUUUGCUGCAGUACAUUGAUUGUGCUGAUAUAACGCUUCAGCCAGUGUCUAUUAAUGCAACACUCAACUCUACUGUUGUCUUCUCUUGUGAAGCUGUGGCUGAUGAUCUUUCCUUCAGGGUUAAUAAUACACAAGCUACUAACAUAGGUGUUAUAGCUAAAGGAUUCAGUGA